rnacentral:tRNA from 1 species
UAGCCUAGGGGUUAUGGCUACGGAUCGCCAAUCCGGAGACGGCGAGUUCGAUUCUCGU